AAUCAACGCUGGCGGCGUGCCUCAGACAUGCAAGUCGAACGAUUAAAGCUCUCUUCGGAGAGUGCAUAAAGUGGCGCACGGGUGAGUAACACGUAAGUAAUCUACCUUCGAGUGGGGAAUAACGUCCGGAAACGGACGCUAAUACCGCAUAACGCAGCGGCAUCGCAAGAUGACAGUUGUUAAAGAUUUAUCGCUUGAAGAGGAGCUUGCGGCAGAUAGCUUGUUGGUAAGGUAACGGCUUACCAAGGCUACGAUCUGUAUCCGGUCUAAGAGGACGGUCGGACACACUGACACUGAAUAACGGGUCAGACUCCUACGGGAGGCAGCAGUCGGGAAUUUUGGGCAAUGGGGGAAACCCUGACCCAGCAACGCCGCGUGAAGGAUGAAGUA
rnacentral:rRNA from 1 species